UACACUCUGUGGAUCCCGACCCCCUCACCAAUAUCCACAUACACCUGUGCAUUGUCGGUCUGGUUUGAGUUGGGCUUCGGCCUUUCUUUUAAACCGCCGGCGCCUAUUCAAAAACUCUGAGUUAAUUGAAUGUGAAGUUAUACUUGUCAAUUUUGACAGAAUUAAACAUAACUUUCGACAACGGAUCUCUUGGUUCUCCCAUCGAUGAAGAACGCAGCGAAACGCGAUAGGUAAUGUGAAUUGCAGAAUUCAGUGAAUCAUCGAAUCUUUGAACGCACCUUGCGCUCCUUGGUAUUCCGAGGAGCAUGCCUGUUUGAGUGUCAUGAAUUCCUCAAACCCCAAUGUUUCGCAAGACUCAUUGCUUGGGUUUGGUAUUGAGCCUUCUAUUGCUUCUUUAUUGUAAGCUGGCUUCAAAGAUAUUAGCUGGACUAUCCGUGCAGAGAUAGUUGCCAUUUGAUGUGAUAAAUGUUACGUCGGUGGUCGCAUCUUGUAUUGCAUUAGAGAAGUCUGCUUCUAAUAAGGCGAGAAGUCCCAUCUUCGACCCGACCCAAUUUAUAACUCUGGCCUCAAAUCAGGUAGGAUUACCCGCUGAACUUAAGCAUAUCAAUAAGCGGAGGAAA
rnacentral:rRNA from 1 species